CAGCCUCUCAGAGUGCUGAGAUUACAAGUGUGCACCACCAGGCUCAGCAUUGCUUUUUCUUUUCCUUCACCUUCACCCCACCAUUGGACCAUUUCUGUCUUGUCUUGCAGAUUGCCCUGAGCCUAGCACAUGGUAAGUGCUCAGCAACUGUUGAAAGAUUUCCCUGCAGCCUGGGUGGUAAAUUAUUCCUCCAAGCGAGUUUUGUACUUGCUCCUGCCAGGCACUCCAAGGAGCUUGCUGCGGUAUGGUAUAAAGCUCAGACUCGGCCCCUGCUUGGUGUCACAGGCUCACUGAAUUGUCCUGUCUGCCAGAAACCUGAAAGGGCCUUGUUGUUUCCCUGUGAGACUGCAGCGGGCAGAAGCAGAGAGAUGCUGGUCUGGUGUCCUGAAAAGCUCUCAGUGAUUUGGCUUGGUACAGAAACGUCCUGGCCGGAUUUGUGGAAGUUGAUCUGCCUGCUCUGUCUUUAUUUGUUUCGUCUUGAUUUUUCCCCUCCAAUGGGAAAAUGUGAGCAGAGAAAGUCCUAGACUUUCCUUUUCCGAGCAAAUUUAUUUUCUGUGUUUAGCAAACUCCAAGUAUUGAUCACUCUUACAUAUGUCUUUUCAGGAGGACUUAAAUCUUUGUGUGUGUGCAGUAUUUUUCCUUGAUAAACAAGCUCAAUACAUUCUGGAACCAUUUUACCUUCUAAUGGAACUCUUUCUGAAAGUGAAGACUUGGAAAAUGAUGCAGUGGACUACCUUUGCAGAUAUCUAUUGAGCCAGAUAAGUAAUUCUCCAUUUCCUUUCUUUUUUAAAAAAAAAAUUUUAUUUUAUUGGUGUAUUUUAGGUAUACAAUACAAUGACAUUCAUCAUUGGAAAUUUGCACCAUUACCUAAUCUCUCUUAGUUCUUAUUUUCCCCAUUCCCCUGCCUUCCCUUCAACCCCUCCAUUCCUCCCUAUUUACAAAGAUUUUGUUCCUAUUUUUCCAUUUUCUCAUAUUAAUCCCAUUCCCUUCU
rnacentral:lncRNA from 1 species